rnacentral:miRNA from 1 species
UGACAACCCACCCUGGUUUGCCUGGGACUGAGAGGUUUUUGGGAUGCAGCACUUUCAGUGUUAAAACCAGGACAAUC